GACGAACGCUGGCGGCGUGCUUAACACAUGCAAGUCGAACGGAAAGGCCCUGCUUUUGUGGGGUGCUCGAGUGGCGAACGGGUGAGUAACACGUGAGUAACCUGCCCUUGACUUUGGGAUAACUUCAGGAAACUGGGGCUAAUACCGGAUAGGAGCUCCUGCUGCAUGGUGGGGGUUGGAAAGUUUCGGCGGUUGGGGAUGGACUCGCGGCUUAUCAGCUUGUUGGUGGGGUAGUGGCUUACCAAGGCUUUGACGGGUAGCCGGCCUGAGAGGGUGACCGGCAACAUUGGGACUGAGAUACGGCCCAGACUCCUACGGGAGGCAGCAGUGGGGAAUAUUGCACAAUGGGCGGAAGCCUGAUGCAGCAACGCCGCGUGCGGGAUGACGGCCUUCGGGUUGUAGACCGCUUUCGCCUGUGACGAAGCGUGAGUGACGGUAAUGGGUAAAGAAGCACCGGCUAACUACGUG
rnacentral:rRNA from 1 species